UUUUGGUUUCAUAGUCACAAAAAAUACUCGUUGCAAAUAUGUUCGUUUUUGUUUCUGCAAGUGUAAAUGGAGUCAAUGUCAAGUGUUCCAUGGCUAUAAGGAUAGGAGUUCACAAUAGAAUGGGCAACAUUACCAACCAAUCACCAGAGAAGGAAAAAAAUUCUUCCAAGCAACUACAAAGCUACAUGGCUGCCAAUAUGUACUGCUCCUAUUUGUGAUAACAAUGUAUGAAAGUGAUGAAGAUGGAAUUAUCUGUCCUACUUGUUUCUGUCAUAGACUGUGGGGUCCACCGUUACAAAACUCUACAUCAGCAACAAUUGUUUCUCACUGCUCAGAAGCUGCAAAUCUCGUGAAUUAAAAAAUUUUAAUUAAAAAAUUUAAAAUAGUUGUAACACCAAGCAUUAUUAAACG